AGGGCUGUAGCUCAGUGGUGCAGUACAUGCUUCACAUACAAAAGAUACUUGGUUCAAUCCCUGGCAGCUCUA